CGGGUGAUGGUGGUGAUCCCUGUUAACACAGUGUUGCCACUGGCUCCCUGCACAGCAGGCACCACACCCAGCUGCACACAACACAGGGGGGACUCUCUGGGACCAUACUCUACAGAGGAAACUGUGGACUUUCUUUGAAAUCUGAGUGUCUAUGUCCAAGGAAGAAGUCAGGCAGAGUCAAGGUAGGAGGGAAGUCACACAUUAUGGUUUACUUAGCG
rnacentral:lncRNA from 1 species